rnacentral:rRNA from 1 species
UACGAAGGGGGCUAGCGUUGCUCGGAAUUACUGGGCGUAAAGCGCACGUAGGCGGUCUUUUAAGUCGGGGUGAAAUCCUGGAGCUCAACUCCAGAACUGCCUUCGAUACUGGAAGACUUGAGUCCGGGAGAGGUGAGUGGAACUGCGAGUGUAGAGGUGAAAUUCGUAGAUAUUCGCAAGAACACCAGUGGCGAAGGCGGCUCACUGGCCCGGUACUGACGCUGAGGUGCGAAAGCGUGGGGAGCAAACAGGG